UGCGGAAAGUGUGUUUUGAUUGGCUAAAAGGAUAUUGUAUCCAUGGACUCGCUUGCACUGAAUCUCUUUGGACCACGUGGACUUAUCUUGCUCCGCUUAUGAAAGUAAUGAAAGUUUUUUCGGCCACGUCAUAUAAACUUGAAGUCAUUAAAUAAAAUAAAAAGAAAUAAAAGUGUAUAAAUGUAUUUUGACAUAGUUCCUCCUUAUAUAAUGUACCACACCCUAACCUACACCAGCACACGCAGCCGCCGCCCCUCCCCGCUCCUUCAUCUUUUUCAUCUUCUUCGUGUUUCUUCUCUGCCGCCUCUCUUUCUUUUCCCUCUGCUGUAAUGGAAGCAAGGACCAUAGAGAAGGGUGAGACGUGAGAGAAAAGUUAGAUAGAUACCUGGCUAGAACUUAUCUUUUCAUUUGGAUUCUAUUUGGUUGAUUCUACCCUUAUGUGGACUUUUUACGUAGGGUUUCCUUUGUCGACUGUAAUGUGCACCUCGGUAAAAGUUCGAUUCAAAUGGUUUUGCAUUUCUGUCCGAGUUGUGUGGUGAUUUGGGUUUUUUUUUUUUUUUUCAUAUCUUGGUUAAUUUGUGUGCCGUGAGGAUGCAUAUUUAUAUGGACUAGAGUUUCUGAUCUUGCAGUUGAAGACUAACCCUUGGCUGUCUGAGCACGCAUUAGAAUCUUUCUUAAAGAUAAAAUCGUUUUGUGUGUGUUUUUUUAAAUUUGCUUCUGGCUAAUGAUGAUAAGCAAUUAUCUUAGCGGAUUUCAGUGAGAUUAUUUCAAUUAAUCCAGGAUCUUAUUGUUACACACACUGAAGCCUUGCCUUUACAAUAUUUAGGGCUUCUCAUCUUUUAACUUUGAUUUGAGUUAUUUGCAGAAGUUUCUGUGAGUGCAGUGUAUUGUUUCAUUGAGCAAAUCUCGGAUUCUGUCUGUUAAUUUUGGCAUUGAUAAUCUUCUGUUUUUGAGGGGGUGUCUAUUGUUUUUUCCAAUUACAUCUCGUCUUCAAACAUGUUUGGAUUAUCUCUCUCCAUUUAGCCCUAAAUAUAUGUUUUUAUGAGAUGUAAGAGGUUCUUGAUUUGAUUUUGUGAGUUGUAACCUUGUGCCCUUGGCCAAUUCUGGGGGAUUGUCAUUUGUCAAUUCCUCUUAGCAUAAUGGCUUGGGUGCAAUAUUGCAAUGUGGCUAUCCUGAUCAAUUUUUCUUUCUAUCUGCACACCAUUAGGUCCCGAAAACAACACAGAAACAUUCUUCGUUCAGAUAAGAAUUUUUCAAGUUAUUUUGGUUUGUAGAUUUUUGAAUUUGAAAAUUUUUAAUCUUACAAAAUAUCGCGCUUUCAAAGGUGUUUAUGGAUAACAGAGUUUAAAGAUGUUUUUUACGGUAAUAUUAUACUUUCUCUGUUACUAAAAAGCUUUUUAUUUGAAUAGUAAAAUGUGACUUACUUUUGGGCGGAGGUGCCCUAAUAAAUAUUAGGGAAAAAAUCUAAACAAGUCCCGUUGAAACUAAUAUUAAUCAAUUUUGGUUCUAAUAUAAACUAUGGGUGUGUUUGUCUAGGGAUUGGCAAAAAAUCUACUAUUUAUUCAAAAAAAAUUUCAAAAAUAUCAAAUUAAAUAUUUAUUUUUUAUUUUUUAUAUUAUUUUUUAAGAAAUAAUUUUACUUUCAAAAUAUUAUAUUUAUAUUUAUUUAUAUCAUAUUAUAUAACUAUUUUAAUUUAAAAUUUUUACUAUUUAAAUUAUUACAUCAAUAUUUAUUUAUAUCGUUUUAUACUAUUAUUUCAAUUUAAAAUUUUUAUUAUUUAAAGUUAUAACUUAAAAUUCAAAUUUCCAAACAAACAUAUUCUAUUUCAAUCAAUUUUAAUUUUAUCUUUACAAAAUUAACAAUCAUUGUUGAUGUAACAAACCCUGAUGUGGCAUAAGAUGUGGACUCAACAUGGCUAAUCAUCACUUCCUCGGUUGGUUUUUCGGCAUUGUCACUGCCAAUAUCCCUUUUUGGUUCGUCUUUCUCGGUCUCACUGGCUAUGGUAUCCGGUAUCUCUUUCUCACCAGCAAUAUCUUCUCUCUUCUACAAAAUUUUAAUCCCUAUUGCCGUCGUUGGAAACGACAUAUGUGGAAUCAACACCGCCAUCCAAAAUUUUCCCUCAACCGCUAGAUCGCUUACCAGUUAUGUUACGAUAGUGGUAGUGUCAAGAUAUACAUUGACAUUGUUGACGUCGUAGUGCAAUUGUUGCCGUUCAAUCGAGCGAAAGCGUUCUUUAAUUUUGUUUUGCUGGUUGCUGUUUGCCUCGCGGUUGUUCUGUUAGUAGCAACAUGAGUGUCUAGAGAUGGCAAGAUUCUUCACCUUCACCUGCCUCGGUUCCUCCGCCUACCGCGCAAUCCCUAAUAUUGGAAUCUUCAUCAUCAUUGUUUUGUGCUCCUCUUUUCUCUUCUAAUGGCUAUAUUUACUUUCUUAGCACUUUAUUGUAGCGGUUUCUGCUUCGAUUUUUGCUUAGAUUUCCUAUUGGAUUGUUGAAGAUUGGGGAAAAAAUUAAUAGAAAAACAUGUGUCGGAAUUGAAUGGAUGAAUCAAUCUUGAUUUGAUUUGGUCAAAUGACUUGCAAUUAAGAAAUAAUACAACUGGCUUCCGAUUUAAAGAAAACAAAAAAAAAACAUAA